GGCACGUCCGUCACUCCACCGUCGUGCCGCGUUAAAUCAAAGCCGAUAGUCAUAACCUCCAGCGCUACAGCAACCGCGGAAGCUCGCUCUACAUGGACAGAACAACAAAGACCUUCCUAUCUUAACAUGAACUCUUCUUCUCACUCUUCUCCAGCAUCACUUUACCAGAUUCUCGGUAUAUCAGCAGGUGCUUCCAAUCAAGAAAUAAAGGCGGCAUACCGGCGACUUGCAAGAGUCUGCCAUCCUGAUGUUGCGGCAAUUGAUCGGAAAAACUCAUCGGCGGAUGAUUUCAUGAAGAUUCACUCUGCAUAUUCCACGCUUUCGGAUCCAGAUAAACGUGCUAAUUAUGAUCGGAGUCUUUUCCGGCAACAACUACGGCCGUUGUCAACGAUGGUGUCUUCUGGAUACUCAAGUCGAAAAUGGGAAACGGAUCAGUGUUGGUAGUAAAUUGACUAACAGAUGAGGGAAGUGCAGUUAUUAACGAAGCAUCAUGCCUCAAGUGUAAAUUAUUAACUAAUUACUAAUUAGGGAUAGUAACUACUAUAGUAAUUAGUUCUUUUCACUCAAACCAAACCAUUAGUGAUUAGUUAGCUUUCAGAUUUUGUAUAUUACAAAGUAAAGUAGUAGUAUCUGAAAAAGUGUAUUCUGGGAAGUGUUUCCCCUACAAUACAAGAGAAAUUACUGACCAAUUAUUCUUCUAGUGUAUCUUACUAUAACAAAAAUUAAUCUGUCUGAUCCAAGUUUUAAACAUCAUACAUCAAUUUUUGUUACGUUGAUCUAAUUUUCCCUUGUACGUAGAACCAUAAUUAUUCUUCUAGUCUCUCUCUGCUAUGAAGACAGAGAGCUAGCUCCUCACAUAACUUCAAAUUCGAUCUUUUAUGAAAGAACCAAUCAUCUUAACAUAGAAACUCCAACGUAACUUGGUCUCAUGAAACGGCUUCCUACCAAUUGUUCAACAACAAAUUGUUGAUCUCUUCAUUAAAGCUGUGCAACAUGGAUGCUUCUCUAGACUUCUUACCAAGCUUAGCUUGAGGAAGGGUGUGGAGGUAUUUUAGAGACGUAAAUAGUUAGUUAAGGUAUAUUAUUUGUCUCUAGACUUCAAUGUGUUGAAUCCACAAUUUUUAAAAUAAGAUUUUACUUUAAACCUUAACAUUUCACUAAAGAUAAUAGUCUUUUGUGAGUAUAACUGAUUUGGUAUGAACAUUGCAUAAUGUGUUGAUUGUGAUUCGAACCACUCUAAUUUAGUGAUUAGACUAUUUGAUAAAAAAAAAAAUAAAGAUAACGUAUUCUACUCACUCUCACUCACAUUUUCAGCCUAAUUUUAUAUAUAAUUUCUAGUUUCUAUAAAUCUUCUUCUAGAUACUUUUUGCAUUACAGCACAAUACUCCUUUUUUUUAAGGGUCAAUGCUCAAAUGUAUGGAUGUACAUCUACGUACUCGUACAUCUAAACAAUUAUUUUCCUCCGCAAAUUUCUAUUUCAUAUUAUAAUAUUAAUAAUACUUAUAAAGAUGUCAAACGUAUAUCUUCUUCUAUAAUUUCAUUGGUUGAGGGAUGGAUUGUGGUGGAGAUAAAAUUUCAGUUAAAUUGACACAAUUUAGUUGUUCAAAUUAAGACGCAAAACAUUCCACCACAACGUGACGCUGAAAUGCACCUCUGGCUCUAGAAGAUAAGAAUUAUUCAGUGUAGUGGAAUUUUAGAAACAACUUUUGUCAUCGAUCAAGACUAAUGGACAGGGACUGGGGCAAAUUAACGACUUCAAAAUUCACAAUUAGAUAAGCACAUACGAGGCAAUUGGAACAGUAAAAAUAUUGUUUUAUACAAUGACGUUGAUUUGUGCUAUUGAUAUCACCUCUCCUAUUGUAUACUAAUGAUGUCACAAUCCUAAACAUAUAGUUUUUGCCAAAUUUUGAACUGUAUAUUUCAGCAGCCGGUUUGUCUGAUAUGGAUAGCAAAAUUCUCUUUGAAAGACAUACCAUUAUUGCAUUUUCAUUACAUACUAGGAAAUUAAAUAUAGGUGCAUGGACUUGGGAAAAAGAAUUAGAAAUAAAGGGUUCUAGAAACUUAAAUGAAAAUAUAAUCUAGAAACAAAGUCUUUAAUUUAAUCGCCAAUGCAUCACCUUACAUGUUUAUUUAUCAUUUAGUUUUAUUUUUUGUUGUUAAAUCUUAAGUUUUUGUGUUUAUUUAUGAUUGAGAGUUUAAUUAGUAUUUAUUUCUAACCAACUUUUUUUUUUAUAAAAUUGUAACUUAUAGAAGGAGGGGUCCAGGAUCAACUAAUUUUAGGAGUAAUGUGACUUUUGAUAUAGUUACUCAACUUUCUAGUAUACUAGUAGUUAACCAAAGUCAAGUUCAUAAAAAAAAAAUAUAUAUAUCAUUUAUUCUUUUGAUAUGUUUAUUCUUUUGAAAUUUGUGAAUAGUAAAGAAAUAACAUGGUUUUGAAUGUCAUCGGAUUAUUUGGUCCUUAUGUUAGAAGUUAUAUAAUUGAGGGACUAAUUUGUUAGUAAAGGAUUAAUUUGACAACGGGUUACAACUAGGUUAAUAAAAAUACCUAGUUGUUUAACACAAUUCAAAACUACUCCAUCCGUUUUAUAAUUAUUGUCUCUUUAGCAAUUUUUCUUUUUCUCAAAAUAAUUGUCACUUUACAAUAUCAAUGUAGUAUUUAUUAUUUUUUUUCCACUAUUAUACCCUUAUUUAUUGAAUUUCAUCCAACUUAACCACUCCACUAACUACAAUUAAUAAGGGUGUUUUGGUAAAUGCAACUAAUUUUACCAUUGAAAUCAACACAAUUAAUCAUUUCUUUAAUAAUCGUGCACAAACCUUAAACAACAAAUAUUGUGAGACGGAGGGAGUAAGUUUUUUUUUUGUACUUGCAUCAGGAGGCUAAUUAGUGUUCGCCAUCUCUUUAACAUCAGGAUGCUAAUUAGUGAUUAACUCAAAAUUCUUUUUGUUUCAACAAAAAAUAAAAACAAAAUUCGAAGAAGAAUUACGCUUAUGUUACUAGUGUUAGUAAAAAUCUAGCUUUAAUAUCCCAUAAGUAUAACUAAGUUGGUGUGUAUUUAUUUGUAGCCAGGUUUAAAUCCGCGACUCCACGCUUAUUCAUCCUUAAAAAGUGUCAUAUUCUAUCCAUAUCCCUGCUUAAAAAAGGUCUAAAUUACUUGUAAAUUAAGGUGACCUUUGGUUCAACACAAAAGCCUAAGUUGCCAAAAACACAGGAGUAUUGUUGUUGACACAUCUUGUUAGGCUGAGAAACACGAGUAGUUAAUUGUCGAGGAAAUACGAAAUCGGCUGCAGUUAACUACUGAGGAUUUCCUCGACACUUAACUACUGAGGAUUUCAUCGACAGUAAACUGUCGAAGCGUCCUGAAGUCAAGGCAGAGGCAAUAGCUUCAUUUCCUGAACCUGUAAUGUGUUUCAAAAACAAAACACAACAUAUGUACCUGUUUUUUUUACGCAUAAUGGUUCAAAUGGAAAAACAAAAUUGGCUCAAUUUAACAAACACUGAUUAAACGAAGAAACUAAUGAACCAAUGUCAUCAAAAUACAAACAACAUAAUGUCAUCAAAAUACAAACAUAAUGUCAUCAAAAUCCGAAAAGUAAAAAACAAGUCCUAAUCCUACUGCUGGUGCCUCCUCCUCGGCCUCUGGCCUCGCCUCUUGGUAAUGACUGGCGCGAUCCGCUGCCUAACAUCAUGCAAGGCCGCAUACAACUGCUGAGGGGUCAUGCUCAUCACCUCCUGACCCAAAACUCAUCAGCAUCGGCAACAGCGCCGCUAACCAUGUCAUAGGUAUCAGGCGAGCUUCUCGCCUCGUACCGCUCCCACUGCUAUGCAGUGAUCUGCACCUCAUUAGGAGGCCUCGGAAUAUCUCCUGGAAGAAGUGGCAAAAUCUGAGGGUGAGACACAACGGUGUACCAUCGUACAUAGGCAUCUGUCAAACGCCAUGUCUGCUCUCCUGCAUGCUCACCCCAAUCGGCCUCCUCAAGCGUGUGAGUGCGGAAGUCGACGAAAGCCUGCACAAUCUCAGCCGGCGACAGCUCUACAACAUCCGACGGAUGUCUAGGGGCGGUCUAGACGUAUCCGUACUGCCUCAAAACCCUCUCGGGCAAGUGACGGUACACCCUACGAUCACCGCACAUAAUCCAGCCUGAAUACCAGAAUACCUCCUCAAAAGCCUAGAAGUCCUUGUGUUCUUCGUACGACCUCCAGCAUACGUCAUCAAACGUAAUACGAUCAAGCAGUGACCGAUACGUGACCCCCUCUCCAUGACCCUUCUGAAGCUUCCACCUCGCCGCAACCGGUAAGUUUUCAACAUAGUUGGUGUUUGGAUCAACAACAUAAAACUUAGGAAACUGCGCCAAAAACCAUGUCUACACAAACCAAACAAAUCACAUUAAUAAAUUAUUAUGCACGGAAAAUAUAACAAAAAAAUAAAAUAUAAGUUUUCUUAAAGUGAGCAGUAUCACGCUUCCCCCAAUUUGCUUGUCUCUAGGCAUACAUGCCUCAGUUAACUCGUUGUAUAGGUAUGCAAGUGUCAUCCCUCCCCCCAUGAAUAAUUACGCAUAGCCGUCCUCCAUGGUCGUCAGAUAGACCAACUCGAUGCGUUUGUUGCUUCUAUCCUCAAACAACAAGCAUCCAACCAAGUAGAAAAGAUAACAUUUCACACCAUAAGUCCUAUCCAUCUCCAACUACUUCAGUUCCUCUGGAUCCUCUGUAUCCGCCAAAGUGUUAGCCCUACCAAGGCUAGUCGUAUAUAACUCCCUCAGCUUUGGAUAACUAAUGUACCCACCAUACUCUUUAUUGCAAAUUUUCUCUGCCUCCUUCUUCGACGCACCCAAGUGCCUCACCAGUAGUGUCUCUCCCUCAUGUCUCAGCAUAUUCUUUCGGUGGCCCAACAUCCGCCCUUCAAUCUGAAGAUGCAUAAGACAAGCGACAUCCUCCAAAGUCAUGGUCAUCUCCCCCAUGGGCAUGGGAAAAGUGCUGGUCUCAGGAUGCCACCUCUCGCAUAGAGUCAUCAGCAAAGCAUGAGGCACAGUGGGGUAGCACAAGAAAACCAAAUCAUUUAAUCCACUCUCCCUAAGCGGGUCCCAAAACCAUCUCUGAUUACUGUUUGGACGUCCGAGACUCAAAAUCUUAGCACCAUGAUUAAUCGGUUUUACAUAACGGAACUUGCGGCACUGAAAUAAUAGAAAAAUAAACAUAGUUUAAACAAUGUAAACAUUUAACUAAUAAAAUAAAACUUAACAAAUGCAAAGAAUAAAAGUUGAAAUAAAGAAAAUAUAAAUAAAAUAAUUAAACUUAAAGAAAAGAAUUAAAAAAAACACAUAUAAAAGUUGAUAUAAUAAUUAAACAAACACACAUAUAAAAAAAAUAAUUAAACAUAAAGAAAAAACAUUUAAAAAAAUUACACUUACGUUAUCUGAAUUAUACCAAAGCGGCAAUGCCACAUGAUUGGCAUAAGAGUGCAGAAGAGAUAUAUUUUCCGGUCCUCCAGAAAAGGGAGGGUCCAAAGGUAACACCUCCGGGGCAACCGCUGCUGCAAUGACAUCAUCGUAUGGUUCAUGUUGCUGCUCUGGUAUAUGAUCCUGAUCAUACCCACCAUCAGUCACAUCGUGGUGUACCUGAUCCUGAUAAUUCAGGUACUUCACCUCCUGGGUCUGGUCAGCAACCUGUGACUCUUCAGGCUGUGUAACAGCCUGAGAAGUCCCUGAACCAUAUCCCCUCCGACCUCUUCCCCUCUUUUGGAUGUGCCCGCUUUGCCUCUCCUUCCGGUGGCUUUAGGUCAUCGCACGCCUACCACCAAUCAUCUUAGAUUGAUCAAUGGGGUCCUGAUCGGUCAUAUCUACACAAAAAAAUUAAAAAAUUAACAUCAUUUUCAUAACCUAAUCAAACACAUUAAACCUAAACUAAACAUAAACAUAAUCAAACACAUUAAAAGUACAACAAUGAAUAUCAUUUCCAUAACCUAAAAUCAUUCAAUAUAAUCAUUAUUACAAUAAAAUUUAUGUCCAUCAUUUCCAUAAUAACCUAAACAUCAUUCAAUAAUUAACAUACACUUAAUCAUUUCUAUACACUUAAUCAUUUGUGUCCAUCAUAAUUUUCAUAACCUAAACUAACUAAACAAUCAAUAUACACUUAAUCAAACUAUAAUUAACAUCAUUUCUAUCAUUUCCAUAACCUAAACAAACUAAAUAAUCAAUAUAAUUUUCAUUGAGGCAUUUGAUCAAACACUUUGUGUGCAAAGUAUAAAACAUAUUCAAAUUGUGUUCAUUUGCCACCAUUCAAAGCCACAUUAUGAUUUAAACAACAUAUGCAACUACUACAUUCAUUUAUCAAUUCAUAAACUACACAUGCAAUCAUCAAAUUGUCAAUUCAUUUAUAAAACCUAACCACAUGCAAACUACUCAAAUUUUUUUAAAAACUUAACCUAAACAAAUUAACAUUAAGAUUGCAAUGAUUAAUAGUACUUACUUGUGAUAAUGUGGGGAUGAUUAACUUGCAAUUCGUGAAAAUGGAAUUUGGAGAGAAUUUUAAGAAAGGAAGAAACUGCAAAACUGUGUUUCUGCAUAUGUUCAGCACGCCUCGUCAGUUAACUACCGAGGUUUUCCUCAGCAGUUAACUGCAGUCAGAUUUUUAAUUCCUCGGCAGUUAACUGUCGAGGGAGCAAAAUCGUAUUUUACUUGUGUACCUCAAGUCUUAUAAAAUAUGUGAACAAAAUUUUCAAAUGACGGAAGAGAAAUUAAAUUACCGUGGCUCUUGUUUCAUCGCCCACUAGUCAGUGUAACAAAAAGAACCAACACUAGACGGAAAAAGAAUUAUAAAUAAAGGGUUGGAUACUUAUAUAAAAAAAAAUGUUCUAGAAAGAGUCUUUAAUUUAAUCGCCAAAGGCAUCACCUUACAUGUUUAAUCAUUUUCCCUCAAAAAAAAAAAAGUUUAAUUAUCAUUUGGUUUUGUCGUUGAUAUAUAGUAUCCAAUUGGUAGUUCUAAAUCGUCAUUCUCUUGUAGCUCUCUACAUUCUCCACUAUACUUAUAUUACCUUUCCUGUGUUUCUAGACCAGUGGUUAAUGAUGAAACGAAACAAAUUAACUUUUUCUUAAACUUUAUGUAUAUAAAUUUGGAUUGAAACUUAGCAUUAACCAAUUACACUUAUCAUCAGUAACAAAAAUAUUACUGCAAGAGAAUUUGUACCAAAGCUGUGAUCAGAUUUUGAUAAUUCUCAAUUGAAAUUGUUCAGCACAAUCUCCUUCAAAAGUAUAAUGCAUUAUUUACCAUUACACUCCAAAUUGAUCAAUUAAACUUGAUAUGGACUGAAUAUACAGCAUUUAUAAUUACUAAUAAUUAUAUGAAAAGCUUAGCAUGCAGACAUGUCGGUCACUUUCCUUUUCCUCCAAAUGUCUUCUUUUAUAUCGUGAGUAGAAAACGUAAACAGUGUGUAGCCAUAAAAAACACGUAAACAGUAUUUUCUAUACUUUAUAUUCUUUAAUUAAUUUAUAAACGACAAUUAUUUGUGCCUGAUAUAGAUAGCAUGAGAUGAGACAUAUUGAUAUUUAAUUGAACCGAUCCAUAGAAUUAGAAUUAAAUAAUAUAAACUGCUUCCUUGUCAACUUCAAUAUACAUCAGAGCAGUGCACUAGGCCUAUGCAUUUGGAGCAACUUGUGACUUGUAUCCCAAUCGAGGCAUUAGUGGUAUUAUGAGAUAUUUAUAUGUGUUUGUAUCUAGAAGGAAGGCAAUAAUUGUGUGUAUCUAGAAGGAAGGCAAAUCAGAAAAGUAUUCAUAAUAAUGCAUCACUUUGUUCCAAACAAAAAUAGCUGGCCAUUAUUUAUUUUUAAGGAGGAAAUUCAUUGUAUUUUAUUAGUUAAAAUAUGUCAAAUAUAUGAGGGUACAUCAAUAAUAUAGGUGCUAGAAUUAGAUAGGGUUGCCUGAUCUAACCCGUAAGCUACCCUAUUCGCUUGCCUCGUGUUGAACACAACAUGAGAGUUCCGAAAUCUAUUCACUAUCAACUGUUUACAAGCAGGAAUAUUACACCCAAAUUCGGUACUAUCAUCAAUGUUUGAAUUGACACUAUCAACAACUCUUUUACAAUCAAGUGCAAAAUCAACAUAUUGUCAAACUGUUGAUUAGAAAUCGAAUCCAAAGUCGUGUGCAAUCCAACAACCUCCCCUACGUCAAUAUCACAAAGAGCGGCAAAUCAAUCCAAAAGCACCAUCGUCAUCCCUAAGGCACAUGCCCAGACCAACCCUCUGAAGAGAAGCAGAAAAAGAUGCAUCAAUGUUGCAUUUAUACCUGCCAGGUGCCGGUUUCUUCAAAUUAUCCUCGUUUUGUCUUGUAGGCCGCGCCUGUGGUACAUGUGGUGUGGUGGUUUGAAUGCUGAGAGACAUGAUAGCUUGGGUUGCUCGUCAUUCUUCUAAUAGGUGGGUUGCGCGUUGAAGCACCUGCGAGUUGAUUUCAUUCUGUUGGUGCCACAAUUUCCGACUCUUCCGAAAACUCCACAUAAUUGUGGCCAUAAGCUCACGUUGACCUGAAGAAAAAUUCUGCAAAAGAGUGAAUAUGAGUGCAUGAAUAUUAUAGUCUUGACGGAGCACCCUGUCUAUUGUGUCCCAUAAAUUCACAUCCCGCCAAACUUGGACAACUUUAGAACACUCAAUGAGAAUAUGGAUGAUAUCUUCAUAGUUGUUAUUACAUUGAACACAAUCAAGUGGGCAAGAGACCCCUCUACUACUUAGACGAGCGCGUGUUGGAAAAUAACCACGACACACACGCCAAAGUAAAUUCUUAAUUUUAUGAGGCACUUUUAACUUCCAAAUGAGAUUCCAACGACCAGAAACAUGCAUGUGACAGUUGUCUGCAAUUUCAGUCACAUAUAUUCUAUAUGCACUUCUGACAUAAUACUUACCACUCUUUUCCCCUUUCCAAAUCAUUUUAUCUUCCGUUACUAGUGGCUGAAGCGGCGUGUUAAGAAUUAAAUGUGCAGUGGACGCAUCAAGUAAAUUAUGAAUUAGAUCAGGUGCCUUCCGAAUCUUUAACUCUUGAUCGAUAAAAUCACAUAAUUUCACCUGCAUCAAAGGCUCAAAAAUUGGGUUAGUCGUAGAUUAUUCUUAUUAAUUGAUUAAUUUAUUAUUGUGAUCAUGUCAAUAUUUAUCCAGACGGAGGAGUCAAGAUUUUUCUUUUGUUCUUCAAGUAGCCUAGUGGUGAAAACUCACACAUUUUAAACUUUGAUGAAAUAAGUUGUUCGGGGUUCGAACUUCAGCCUCUGCAUAUAAUAUGCAAUAUCCUUUUCAACUAAGCUAAGUUCACAGGAAUGACUCAAAAUCCUUUUUAUUUAUCUAAAUAUGUUGUUUUUAGGCAUGUAUCCAGGUUAAUUGCAUUAUUUGACAAAUAUAUAUUUAUAACUCAUCACAAUUUCAAUACAAAAUAUUCAUAAUAUCACCAUUAUUUGAAUGGUGGGUUUAUCUAAAAUAGGCCUCAAAAGACGGUUAAAGUGAAUCCAUAACACUUGACAUUGAAUGCAUUGGACAAAUGAUGGACAUCACUUUGAACCUAUAUAUGUAUCACUUUGAACAUUUUCUUAUUCAUCAUCAUGAAGUUUGACAUGUCCUUGAUAAAUCAUAAAGAUAAAAUAGCUAUAACUAAUUAGUCAAACUAAAAAUGAUUAUCCAAAUCGUAUUCUGACGAACUCUUUGGGAAUCUUGAUAAAAAGCAUCCACAAAUAUCGUGAUAGAUCAAGAAUAAAUACUAACUACUCCGCUGUGAUUAUUUAAAAAUCAUCUUCCUAAUUUUCAGAACAAUAAAGACAUAAACUAUAUAUCCUUGAAUCUCAAAAUUUCACCAUCACUUUCUCUAAACUCAUUCUCUUUUCCUUGAGCAAUUUGUUUUAUUCACUUCUUCAGGUCUUGGUCAUACUCUUGAUCCUUCUUGAUGUGUUCCAUCAAAUUAUUCGUAAUCUUUAACAUCCUAAGCUUGUACAUGCAUUUAGUUCAAAGCCUAAACCUAAUCCUUAAUUACGCUUAAAUUUAAUUCAAAUUUUAUACAUGCAUGAAGUACGCUUAAUAUAAGGCGAGUGGGACGCGUAAAGUGUAAACCGAACUCUCUUCCAUCCCCCAUGUGCAAUUAGAUUCAGUUGUCUCUCAAGUUAACUCAUCGCACUUAUGUAACAUUCCGGCGGGCUAUCUCACAUGACAUAGCGAGUAAUAUUGUACCACGUGUUGCUUCUUCUUUUUUUUGGUUAAUUAAGUUUGGCUUAAUACAUGUUUUGGUUUCUUAACUUAUUUUUGAAUUUCAAUUUCGUCCCUUAACUUUAAACUGUCUCAAUUUAGUCCCUAAGUAUACAUAUGUUUGUCCAACUGGUCCUUUCUAUUAGUUUUGUCAAAAAACGUUAACUUUGUCCAUGUUGCAUGGACAAAAUUAACGUUCUUUUGAAAAAUACUAACAGAAAGGACCACUUGGGUAAACGGAAGUAUACUUAGGGGACCACAUUGAGACAGUUUAAAGUUAGGAGACCAAAUUAAAAUCCAAAAAUAAGUUAAAGGACCAAAUCAUAUAUUAAGCCAUUAAGUUUUUAGUCCUUAUAAAUAUUCACAGUUUUGUUUUAGGAUGACACAUUAAUUAAUUAUAUUGAAUCCAUGAUACAAAUUGCUACAAAAAAAGAAGUUUUUCAUUGUAUGUAAAAAUCAAUUUUAAGAUCAAAAGUUAUAAAUCUUGCUUCAAGUAAAAUCAAUGUUGAGGCAUAGUCAAUUUUACGAUUGUAAAUGUAUCAAAAUCAAUUUUACACUUCAAUCAAUUUUGUUCCUUUUAAAAGUGAAACCAACUUAUAAAGUUAAUUUGAGUGAUAAAAUUGUUAUAAAUUUAGGUCUUAAUAAAAAUAGAUUUCAUAAAAUAUGUUCAACAAUUAUGAAUUAUAGCGGAAACAUUUUUGAUUUAAGGAUAUUAAGAAUUAGGGUAUUAGGAAUACCUGAAUUAUGCUUUCAUGACAACCAUCUCAACAGCAACACGAAAGAGAGGAGAUGAUCUGAAACAAAUUGAAGGGGUUAGCGACGGCUGAUUUGGUUCUUCCUCAACCGAUACGAGUUUUAUCGUGUAUGGUGUAUUGCGGACCAUAACCUUUUUUAUUUUGAAGUCAUUAGGGUUUUCCAUUUUCCAUUAUUCCGUUAAUGGGUCAUCUGCAUAUCCACUUAUUGGAUCCAUAUCAAUUAAUUAAAUAUUUAAUAAAUUAUCUAAUUAGAAAUUUAAUCGUCUUAUCACUUAAUUUGAUCACUAAUCAAUUAAGACCCACAGUUGAUAAAUAGCUAAUAUAAUUAUUAUUACAAUGAUAUCGGAAUAUAAUUAAAUAAUAAAAUAUUUUAACAAAAAUAACUAGUUGAUUCAUUACUAAUUACUAAAUAUGAAAAGGAUGUUUAAUUAGGAAUACUUAACCAGCAAACAAAGCAUCAAACUGUAGAAAAAGUAGCAGGAUGGUAAAGCCAGGUACAAUCUGAGUCAGCACGUAUCGCCCAUUGGAUAAGUUCUUUGUGUGCUCCGCAAAAUAACAAUCACAACACAAACCACGGCAUUUUUUCACUCUGGGACCCACACGUUCUCCUUUCUUUGUAUAAAACCAAUCCUAACCCCAAUUUCAUUUCUCCUCAUUCUCAAAUCUCAUAACGAACAUUUUCAUCACAAACAUGCUUUCCUCCAUAUCUCUUCCUUCUUCUCUCUACGCCGCCGGUAACUUCUCCGGCGCCACCGUAACACCACCACCGUGCCGCGUCAGAUCGAAGCCAAUACUCAUCACCGCAAGCGCUACAGCAACUGCGGAAGCUCGCUCUACAUGGACAGAGCAACAAAGACCUUCGUAUUUAAACAUGAACUCUUUUUCUUACUCUUCUCCUGGAUCACACUAUGAGAUCCUCGGUAUAUCAGCAGGUGCUUCGAAUCAAGAAAUCAAGGCGGCCUACCGGCGACUUGCAAGAGUCUGCCACCCUGAUGUGGCGGCGAUUGAUCGGAAAAACUCAUCGGCGGAUGAUUUCAUGAAGAUUCACUCUGCAUAUUCGACGCUUUCGGAUCCAGAUAAACGUGCUAAUUAUGAUCGGAGUCUUUUCCGGCAACAACGACGGCCGUUGUCGACGAUGGUGUCUUCCGGCUACUCAAGUCGCAAAUGGGAGACCGAUCAGUGUUGGUAGUGAGUUGACUCAUCCGAGUGAAUUUUGAAUUUACUAACAGAUGAGGCAGUUGCAGUUAUUAAAUGAAGCACCAUGCCUCAAGUGUAAUUUAACUGAUUAGCGAUUCUAACUAUAAGUAAUUAGGGUUUUUACUGAAGCUACUGGUAUUAAUUAGUUAGUGUUUCAGAGUUUGUAAUGAAUUUUUCCACUAUAAUACAGUACAAAAUUAUUGACAACUUUACUCUUCUUAGUCCGUGAUUGCAUCAAAAUUUCAUAUAUAAACAAGAAAUGUGAAGUUUAUCAUUAUGUUACAAAAAAAAGAAUGGUAAUUUUUAACCAGCUAAAACAGAGUAAAACAUAAAGCAGUAACAUAAAACAAAUUAGAAGAGUUUGGAUAAUAUAUUUCAUUUUAACCUCUUUAAAAAAAAAUCAAAUUAGAAAAGUACAUAUAUUGUCUAGUUUGGUGAUUAAUUGAGACAUGUUGUGAUGUUGAUUAGUUUGUGGGGUGAACUUUUUUAGCUUAAAGUGCAAAUAAAGUUAGAUUCAGACUAGAAUACGCCACUCACAUCAUUCAAUUCAAUAAUACUUUGAUGAAUGAUUAUCUUAAUUUCAAUGUUAGGAACUUGUAAAAGAGAUUACACUUAUUUUUAAUAUAAAUAUAUAAUUAAUUAGAAAUAGACCAUAUAUGCUCCUACUAUAUAAAUAAAUUCCAAUUAAAAAAUUUGUUAACUAAAGAUUCAAAGUUUAUCAUAAAUGGAAAGAAUCCUAACUUUUUUUUUUUUGAAAUUCAAACAACUUCAUUAGAUGACAGAAGUGUUACAAACAUUAGCAGAACUAACAGUAGGAAAGGUAUAACAUACUCAGAAAUUGCAACCAGCUUGCAUAGCAUGGCCAACAAGUCUAUGAGCUAGAACAUUUAAGUUUCUACAAACAUAGUUAACAGAUACACUACUAAAAUCUUCCGUAAGGGCCUUACAAUCAAAGACUAUCAAAUCAAUACUAGCAAGAGAGUUAGAACCUCUAAAACACUCAACAACAACAAGAGCAUCAGAUUGAAUUAUAACAUCUUGAAGGCCUUUUUCCUUUGCUAAUUGAAGACCAACGGAUAGCUAGAGCUUCAGCCAGAACAAGUUCAGUACUCACUUCCUCCUUCUUGCAGACUGAGAAAUAUACACUAUUUGGACCAUCCUUGAAAACGCAGCCAAACGUGGUGAAACCUUGCGGAAAACAACAUGCAUCAACCUGAAUAAUAUGAGCAUUACAGAUAAAAUCUAGCGCUGCAUUAGCGACAUCAGGGGGGAAAGACUGAUCUGAUUAAACACUACUUGGUUUCUAUAAAACCACAUUUUCCAAAGAAUAGUGCAGAAUAAUUGUGAACCGAGCAUAUCUUUCUUUUCAAACCAAAUUAGCAGCCAACUGUUUAAAGCGAGGUUUGAAGGAACAUGGAUCCCGAGGCUAGAUGAGAACCAUGUAAGCUUGGAAAAAUUAUAAUCCAUGAAAAGAUGUUGAAUUGUCUCAGUGGCAGAAUUACACAUUGGGCAUAAUUGUUCAAUUUUAAUUCCUUUCUUGCACAAAUUUGCUCUUGUGGGUAGGAUGUUUUUUGACAGCCGCCAAAUGAAAUUCUUGACUCUGUUUGGAAGAUUCACUCGCCAUACUUCUUUCCACAAUUUUGCAUGGGGGUCAUGAGAUGAUCCUGGUAAAUUGUUCCUUCGUUCAUCCCCUAAUACAUGAUAAGCUGAACGCACAAAGUAUUUCCCGUCCUUUUCUCCAGACCAUACCAAGGAAUCAUCAGGGAGCCUACAAGAUAGAGGAAUACUAACAAUGAGUCUUGACUCAAAAGAAUUAAAAUUGGAAAAGACCAAGUCUCUAUUCCACUAUUUAGUGUCUUGAUCAAUAAGCGCGCUCACAUAAGAAUCUUGUUGAAGUGUCCCGAUUCUACUUUGGACUAUUGUGCUACCCUUGCUUGGAAGCCAAUUAUCAUGUCAGAUCCUGACUUCUUCCCCAUUUCCAAUUCUUCAUUUACUUCCUUUCAUGACAACUUCUCUAGCACUCAUGAUACUCCUCCACGCAUAGCCGGGUGAGAAGCCCAACUUUGCGUUCAAGAAGCUUCCUCUAGGGUGAUAUCGACUCUUAAAAAUCUUCCCCAUAAGCGUGUCUUCUCCGGUCGAGAGCCUCCAGCAGUGUUUUCCGAGAAGUGCUUUGUUAAAAUCACUAAACCCUCAGAAACCCAUCCCCCCUUUGAUCUUAGCUUUAGACAAUCUCUCCCAACUCAUCUAGUGAAUUUUCCGUUCCCCUUCUUUUGAACCCCACCAGAAUCUUGCCAAUAAGCCUUCAAUCUCGUUACACCAACCUUCCGGUAAUUUGUAGCAGCUCAUAAUAUAGCUUGGAAUGGCUUGUGCCACAACUUUGAUCAACACCUCUUUCCCAGCCCUCGAAAGAUUUUUCCUUCCAUCCCUUCCGUUUCUUCCAGACACGGUCAAUAACAAAAGAGAAAAUCUCCUUCUUGGAUCUACCAAACACAACUGGGAGGCCCAGGUAUCUAGUAUGAGACAUCACAGUCUUUACAUUCAUCUGAUUACAUAUCAUUUCUUUUUCCUCUUCACACACAUUUCGACUAAAUGAUGCCUCUGAUUUGUCCAAAUUUACAACUUGACCAGAAGCCCUUUGAUAAGAAUGAAGAACUUGCAAAAUUCUCUCAGCUUCUACUAUGUUAGCACGAGCAAACCACAAACUAUCAUCAGCAAAUAACAAAUGUGAUAUCUUGAGCGCCUUCCUGGCCACUUGAAUACCAUGAAUCUUAUUAAGCUUGGCCUCCUUGGACAACAAUCCCAACAAAACAUCAGCACAUAAAAUAAACAGGUAAGGGGAUAGGGGGUCUCCCUGUCUGAGACCCUUUUCAGGUGAGAUAAGCUUGCUAGGUUGGCCAUUAAUCUAAAUCUGAUAAGAAACAAAGGAGAUGCAUCUUAAAAUGAGAUCAAUAAAGGUCUCAGGAAAUCCCAUAGCCUCCAACAAUCCCCGAACAAAACUCCUCUCAAUUCUAUCAUAGGCCUUUGACAUGUCUAGCUUCAGAGCCAUCAUUCCUUUCUUUCCAUUCUUCUUCUUUUCAUCCAAUGAAAGCAUUCCAUAGCAAUAAGUUCGUUAUCAUUGAUUAACCUCCCUUUAACAAAUGCACUUUGUUCUUCAUCAAUUAUAUUCGGUAAGAUUGCCUUCAACCUAUUUGCAAUGGUUUUGGUUACGAUUUUCAUCACCACAUUACAAAGGCUAAUUGGCCUGAAGUCCUUUGGGGAUGAUGGACUCUUGCAUUUUGGUAUGAGAGCGAUGUAGGUCUUAUUCAUAUCCUCUGGGCUCCUACCAUUAUUAAGGACAUCAAGAGCAUAGUUCUGAACUUCUCCACCUACGAUGUGCCAAUACUUUUGGAAGAAUAAAGCAGGGAGACCAUUUGGUCCGGGGGCUUUAAGCGGAUGCAUCUGAAAAAUAGCUUCUUUAACCUCAAGAUUUGAGAAACUCAUAACACACAUUCUUUAUGAUCAUUGUUCAAUUUCCCUCUCACUACCUCACACACAACAUCAAUAUCACCCGGAUUAGAAGAAGAGAAAAUAUCCGAGAAAUAGUCAAUUAGAAUCCUUUCAACAUGGUCUUCUCCCUUCCACCAAACUCCAUCACUAUCCUUAAGCUUCUGUAUCUCGUUUGUUUUCCUCCGUUGAUUAGCCUUACCAUGGAAAAAAUUUGUGUUCUUAUCCCCCUCCAUAAGCCACACUGCCCUACUACGUUGUCUCCACAUAGUUUCUUCUGCUUUCAUGUGUUCGUCUAAUUGCUUUUCAAGGGCUUUGAAGCGAAUCAGAUCUUCACGGGAGCUAGACCACAAGUUACUAUCUUUGAGAAGCUUUUCAAUUCUUUUGAUUUCAUUUCGAACAAAACUCAUAUUGAGAUGUUCAAAAGAGCUAUUCAGAUGUUGCAUACCAUUAAUCCGACCAGCGAAGUUGUUGCUCCCACCGGUCCAUGUAUUACGAAUAACAUCCUCUGAAUUCACCUCUUUUGUCCAGGCCUCCUCAAAACGAAAAAUACGGGUCCUUUUCUUUCGACUCCGCAAAGAAACAGCUUGUAAUUCAAUCAAAAUAGGAACAUGAUCAUAACCAUACCUUGGAAGAUGGAGGACUCUGAUGGGAGAGAACCUAUUGAUGAACUCCUCUGUAGCAACCGCUCUGUCCAGUCUGCAUUGAAUAUUUUCUUCAAGUUCCCUCUUAUUUGUCCAAGUGAAAGGAUGUCCUUCAAAGCCCAAAUCAAUAAGACUACAAAUAUCCAAAGUAUUCCUCCCCAACAUAAGUUGGUUUGGAUUCCUUGUAUUUCCUCCCUUUUUCUCAGCUGAGUUGAUGAUGUCAUUUAGAUCCCCAAAACAUUCCCUCUUAGUUUGAGCUUAAUAUGAGAAUAUUGUACCCGUGUAGAAAACUCUUGAGAAAAUUUUUGUUGUUCAUUUUAAAAUUAUCUUGUUCGAGAUAUUAGUCAUUUUAGUUGUGUGUAGAGAUAUUAUAGUUGCAUUUUCCAACAUACAUGAAAAGACAUCCUAAAAAAAUGUCUCUUAUGAGUUAUGUGUUUGGAUUGUCAUAGUGAACGGUUAUAGCAAAUAUAAUUCGAAUCAAAGCUUAAAAGAAAAAAAGUUUUCGAAGUAACAUUUUUCCAUAGACUGUAGUUCUUCUGUUCUUUUGUUUGUUUGAUUAAUAUUGUAACAAAAAAAAUGGCAAAGGUUAUUAAUUACAAAGAUUAAUAUUGUUUGAUUAUCACCUAUAUAUCAAGUAGAGUUUGGGUUACCCAAUAAGUUAUAUAUGUAUCAUGUUAUAGUUGUUAAAAUGAGUCGGAUCUCGUUUCAAAGUUGUUGCUUUAUUGUUAAAAUAUAGACACAAUUGAUUGAACUUUGUCAUCAAAUUAUAUAUGAAAAAAAAAAAAAUCAUAAAAGUUGUCAUAAAUUGCGAAGAAGAAGAAGAAACCUAGAUGUUGAAGAGUUUCUAAUCUCAUCACUGAAAAAUUGAAUACAAACACCACUAAUAUGGAUGAUUUUUUUCACUUUGUAUUCAAUUAAAUAAACAAGACUUCUACAAUGUAAUAAACAUAGUUGAGAGAAUGUUCAUAUUUAUGUUUUACAACACCUCAAAUAUAAUUACUUUCAACAAAGAGAACCUAUGAAAAAGCAAAAGGAAAACAUGUCAUUUCAUUUAUUUUCUACUCGGUAUAUGAAUUUAUUUGGUUUUCUUUAUUUGUGUUUUUAUCUCAAAUUAUUUUCCCUGCAUCCAGACAAAGUAUACUCAAAGAAUUGUAAACAAAUUUGACAAUCUCAAACAUACAGAGACAGUCACACAGUAUCACUUGGCAUGGACCCAUAAGACAGUAUAGCAGAGCCAGAUAAACAAAUCGUCUUUAAUUUGGCUACUCAAAAGAAUUUUCAGAUUGAAGAUUUUCAAUUCAAAUUAUUUGACAUGUAGGAGAAAAUAGCAGUUAUGUGGGUGGUCAGGAAACUUUGAUUAAUUCAUGUUUAUUUUUAUGUGGUUACAUUUUACAUAUAGCUAUGUACUUCUACUUCUAGUAGAUUUUAUAGUAGAAUUUAAUUGGAAGAAAGAAAGAAAAAACAAACCACACUGUCACACAUAAGAAAGAAAUGAAGAGCACAUUGUUUUCUUCAUCGUGGAGGUGACUUUUCAGCAGCCUCGGAAAUUAGUUACUUCAUUAUUGUGUCUUUUUGUACAUCUAGAAGGAAUAUCUUGCAAACUCAUCAAUAUGAUGUGAGUUGUGGGCCUAAUGGGACAAAUUAAAAAAGACCUUCUUUAUAUAUUCGCUCUGUAGUAGACUCGACAGCAUCUUCCAGAAUCUAGAUGAUAAAAUUAGGAGUAGAUACACUCUGAGCGAGAAGAUAACCUUCUAGAUAAAAAGGGUCUUGUUAUUUGGAAAUGUGUACAAUUUUUUUUUUUUUCAUUUGGAAAUGCUUUUUCUCUAGAAUAUUUUUUAUAUAAGGGUUUUGUUAACCACUGUCCUAAGGAUAUUGUUUAAGAAAUCCAUUAAAAAAAAUUUUGUCUUGAAAAUACAAGUCAAACAUAUUUUAAGUCAUAACUGCACAAUUUCUAAUACAAAAGUUGUUACUUUUAAAUGCUUAAACAAUACCCUUAGAGCACUUGUUAGCAUUUUCCUUUAAAAAAACAGAAAUGAUAAACAAGCACAUAUAUUUUGACACAAAAACGACAUUAGUGGCAUUUUCGUAAUUUUAAUUAAAAUACAAGGACAAAAUCAUAAUAUUGUCCCUUAGACCACUUUUGAAUUAGUCUUCGCUGACAUGACAUCCACAAUGGUCGACACGUGGCACCUCACUUAAGGGAUAUGGGUGCCACGUCAGCAAAGACUAAGUCAAAAGUGGUCUUGGGGGCCAAAACUACCAAAGAUCCAAUACAUAGGGGACUGUUUUGUAUUUUAAUUAGUUAUGGAGCCAAAAUCGCAACUUUUAAAAAAAUUGGGGGCCAAAAAAGCAAUUAAGCCUAAAUUAUAACAAACAAACACCAUUAACGAUAGACGUUUGUGAGUACCAAGCGGGUUUAUAUUUGGUGAAUGACUCGAUCAUCAACACGAAAUUGAAUAAUGUACCAUCAACUCCAUGCAACAACGACAACAAACAUUAACGACCAUUUCAAGUUCACGCAGUCCUGUGUCAAACAAAAAGAUGACCGAGAUACGAAACCACAUAGUAUACACAUUUGUCAUUUUAAUCAAAACAUGUUAUUUGUGUGUUUCUCUUUAGGCUUCCUAAUAUCUCUAAGACCUCUUAAAUACACAUUUGAUUGUUAUCUAUCAAACGUACAUUUUAAAAAAAACGUAGAUCCGAUAAAUAACCAUCAAAUAUGUAUUUAGAAGGCGUUAGAGAUAUUAGGGGCUAAUUCACGCACUUGUUUAUCAAUGAGGGGAACAUAAAACAUGUGGGGCACCCCUGCAGCUUUCCACUCUCUCCCGUCUCCACUAUUGUUUGCCAAACAAUGUAUCUGAAUUUGAGCUUUCUUUCUUUUUAUGAAUCUUUGUGUUCAAUCUUCAUCCCUUAAACCAACCAUAGUGUCAAACUUGAUUCACGAACUUGAUUAUCUUCGGUUCAGUGUCUUGUAAAAUGCAUGAAACAUAUAACUUUCGGAAUUUUAAUGAAUCUUCGAUCAGCGGAAACAUAGAACUAGUUAUUUCUCUUUCAAAACAAUUUUUAGGCUACAUAUUGCAAAAAAUAAUUACUUUUUAAAAGAAAACAAAAUACAACCAUUUUAAUUAAAAAAUGAUUUAUUUUUACAAAAAUAAUAGAUCCAUCACUGAUAAAAUUUGAGUAUGGCCCAAAAUUAAAGGAAGGGAAAAGUUGAAGACCUUGUUGUCGUAAUAGAUAGUUGGUGGAUUUUAUUUUGUAUAACCAAUAAGGUAAGAAUUUUUAUGAAAGUAUUUUACAGCUUUGUUUAAUACCACAAUUAUAUGUGGAUUUCUUAUGUUGGGGAUAAUAUUUAAUGAGAGUUUUUUUUAGAGGUGUGAAUUUUAUUGUACGAUAUAAAUUGUAAAAUAUGAGUUUACAAACAGCAACAAUUCCAGGAAUUGACAUUGGCAGAUUAACGGUGCAAUAUAUAUAUAUAUAUAUAUAUAAUACAAUAAUACAAUUAAAAAAAGUGAUGGAUGCAGGUAGGAUGAGAUGACCGUGCCAUUGAUAUGAGAGACAGGGAGGGAGAGAGGUUCCUAUAAUUCAACGAAGAUAUGGUUUAGAAAAAAAAAUGGAUAUGAUUAUCGAUUUGGAAAUCCAACAAAAAAAAUCGAAUUUAUAAAAGCAGAUGAUCGACUAUUUGAGAAUAGACCGAUUAAUUUUUGUAUACAAACAUAUGAUUAUUUGGAUUUGUAUGUGAUUUUCUCUAUGUAACAUGAUACUUUAUAAAAAAGCAAGUCAUUCAAAGAUGUAUGCAUGUUCGGUUGCUCAAACACAAGUAGGAAAUUUCAAAGAAUCGUCUAAAUGAUCAAGUUAGUGGGCUACAUAAGCAUAUUGGUACGAGCAAGGAUAUAGGUUGCAAUGAAUUGAGAUUGGAGAUUGACUUCAAUGAGUUAUGGAGAUCCAAAAGGAUCAUCAUUAAAAGUGGAGUGAUUAUAUUGCUAUUAAGUGGCGACUAAUUAAUUCUAGAAGAUUGGUGACUCGUUGGUUUGUUUGGAAGAAUCUAGAAUAAUAUUGUCUAUAUAUAUGAGUUUUUCUAUCAUAUGCAAAUUUGCACGUUAAAAUGUUUAAAUAGAAAUUGUAUUGAAACUUGUACAUUUAAUAUAAAACUUUUGAUAAAUAAUUGUUGUUUUCCAAGAAAAAUUACUACUUAGUUUCUUUAACAUAUGCAAUAUUGCAUACGUUAGACAAACUCAUAAGAUAUUAUACUCUAUUUUAGAAUCGUAAAUGAAAUUAAAUCUAUUUCUCUUCUCUUUAAUUCUUAAAAGGUUUUACUCUGACCAUACAAGUUAGAGUGAGUUUUUCCUCAAAUUUAAUUUGUUUAGAAGUAAAUUUAAUAAAAAGUGAAAUGCCUUUUUGCCACAAUUAUGUUGAGAAUUCUCUCUACUUUUUGUAUUGAAAUCAAGUGACAUAUAGCUGUGAUGAUGUAAUUCAAAGAACAAAAAUAAAAUUAAACAACUUUUUAUUAUACAGUUAUUUAUUUUAGAACUUUAACCAAUGUUCCAAUAACAUUCAUUAGCAUUCUCCUAAAAAUAAUAAUUAAUUUUUCAAAUUAUUAAAUAAAUUUUAUUAGAUAUUGAUUUAGAUACAUCGGUGAUAGCAACAAAAAAAAAGAUACAUCAAUUAUUUAAAAAAUCUAACAUAUGAUUUUUUUUCAAAAAAAAAAAGUAUCGAACCAUGACUACCCCUAACAAAGACCGUGGGUAUGUUGCAUACUCUUUUAUUUUUGAGAGUGAUAUCAAAAGGAACCACACAAUGACUUAAUCACGUUGAUAAUCACCAUUAUCAUCACCCCAAUCACGUUGAUAGUCACCAUUAUCAUCACCCCAAAUCAAGUCAAAGAUUCAAAUAAAUUAGUGCAAGUUGAAAAAUAUAAACGAAACAAAAAAUAAGAGAUCAAGAAAGAAGAUUAAACAUGGUUAGAUUUUUUUUGUGUUUUUUGUACCCUUCAAGCAAUGCAAUGCUAAGAGAGUUAAUGGCUCGCUUUCCAUCGGUAAGUCUAAACUAUCUUGAUCUAAAAAUGAUGUUAGUAGAGGAUAAUGGGAAUGCAAUCGUUAAGAGUUUUUGUACAUAAAAAUGAUGGUAGGAGAUGAUAAUGGUAGGAGAUAAUAAUCGUUAAGAGUUAUGGUGAUUUGAUUAGCAUUAACUACGUUUUCAAUGACCAUUAUGACGUAUCUUGUAUGAGAGAAGGAAAUGAGUAGUUUGAAAAUAGAGUUUGAAUCAACGGUUGAGAUUAUAUUAGCAAUGAAUUUGAAUCAACUGUUGAGAUUAGAUACAUGUUUAGGAGGGAAAAAAGCUAGUGAUUAGGGCGAACAUGCUAGCUAAUCAACUCUAACUUUUAUAAUAAAGGAUACCUCCACGAAAACAAUAAGAAUUGGACUCGCCAGAUAUCCUCCUCAUAGGCACUCUCUCCAUCUUUUCUCAUAAAUCUGUUAACAACGUUUAAAUAUGUCAAAAUCAACUAUAUAUAGUACUUUGUUUGUCCCAUAAUAAUUGAACAUUUUGUUCAUUAGAGAAAUAUGAUUUUUAGUGUCUUAUGAAGUAUUGAUUUGUUCUUUAUUAUCGUAAACAUAAAGUAGAUUAUAUUGAAUUGAAAAAAUAAAAUUAAUAUCAAGUAGAAUUAUAAUUGAAAAUAAAGUAAUUAAUAUUAGAUUGAGUACAAAACACAGACAAAAACACACACGACGAACAUAACACUGAUAUACGACACCAUCUAUACACAAAUUGAACGUAAUUAUAUACUUCAUUCGUCCCUAUAUCUAAACACCUAUUCCCUUCGAUCAUUAUUAUAAGCAAAAAUCAACUUUUUAGGUUUAUUUAAUAAAUAAUGUAUUUGAUCUCAAAUACAUUAUUUAUUGAAUGAACCUAAAAAUUUGAUUUUUGCUUAUAAUAGUGAUCGGAGGGAGUAUUUAACUUUAUUUUUGUCCUUAAAUCUCUUUUCAAAUUACUAGAUGCACUUAUUAUUUUUUUCCUAAACAUACCCCUAAUUAAUAAUACGAACUUGUCUUGAAAUAUGAAAAGUCAAAUUUAAUACAUAUACAAACAAAUGACAAUUUGAUACUCCUUCCGUCUCUAAAUUAUAAUCCCUCCAUUUCUUUUCUUUUGAUAUUUUAAGAUUUCAACUUUAUUUCAAAAUAUUUGAUGUUUUAGGAUUUCUAAUAUUUUUUAUCCAAUUUUACCCUUGUUGAAAAUUGUGUGAUAAGUUUGAGAAAAAUUAGAAGUUUCAAUAAUAAAUGCAAUUGAAGUUUCAAUUUGUGUGGUGAGUGUUGAUAAUUAAGGUGAUUGGAAUUUUGAGAAAAAAAUCAAGGAGUAAAUUUACAUUAACUAGUCUUCAAAGCUGAAUUACCAUGUUUUUUUUCCGAUCCCCAAAGGUCCCUUCCCUCUUCUGUCCUUUAGUGGGAGCUUGAUGUCCGAUUGAUUAUCCGUAAUCUGAUCGAUUUUGUUUUUUGUCUAUGUUGUGUUAAAGAUCUGAUCUUGUAUUUCACUUUAAUAAGUGAUUUCGUGUGUUUUGGUCAAAGGAGGAGACCCAUUAAUCCUUUCAGUUUUUACCUCGAGAUAUUGUGUUUUUUGUGAUCCUCUAUUAUGAGUAGAUAUGCUUUCUUACCUCCCUUAGGUACAGAAUCAUUUGUUUGCUUUCUUAAGUCAACAGUAGGGAACAGGUUGUAUCUUGGUCUUUAUGGGAUUUAUUCCAUUUUGUUAAUGAUGAAAAUCUCUCUUUUAUUGGCAAAGAUCUGGAUGCUAUUGAUGCAUACAAUAUACGUAUCAUAUAUAUGGUACUGCUAUUGGCAGUGGUUUAUUCAUCAUUACAUGAACAAACUAGCGCUAAUCAUACUCCUUCUAUCUCAUAUCAUUUUUUCAACCAAAACAAUGGAGAAUUUGAAUAUCAACGGUGACAACGGUGCUACUAGUUCUCUGCCACAACUAUCACAGGCAGAAUUGUUGGAUCUAUGUCUGGUUGGUAGAGUGGUUGUCAAUAAGCCAAUCUUUUUGGCUACCCUUGAGGAAAGACUUGGCCCUAUGUGGGAUCCAAAGCAAAAAAUGACGCUGAUCCCUAUGGAGAACAACAAGUUUAUGGUCCAGCUCUACUAGAAAGGAGACCUUGCUAAGAUUCUGGACGGCAGCCCCUGGUUGUUAGACAACAACAUGGUAAUUUUGAAGAAGGUUGUGGUUGGAGAGAACCCCUUGUCGAUGCCGAUGAAUACCACGGAGAUCUGGGCUCAAGUUCAUCAGCUACCUUUCGGCUUUAUGGAUGCUAAAGUCGGUGCAUUAGUAGGAAGCCAUAUCGGACGGAUGGUCCGGUAUGACGAUGAAAAUAACUACGGUCUGUGGAGGAGAUUCAUGCGAGUUCGUGUUGAAAUAGCCUUGGAGGAACCGCUGCAGCAAAGUCUCGUGAUUGAACGAGAACAAGGUGAGGAUAUCAAACUUGUUCUUAAAUAUGAGAAAUUAGGCAAAUUCUGUUUUGUCUGUGGUGUUAUAGGCCAUACGGAGAAUUUUUGCAGUGAUAAAUUUGAAACCAGCUCUGCCAGUAGCGAGAAAAAAUGGGGGGCUUACCUCCGGGCUGAGAAUUUUUCUUCCGGUGGUGGUAGCAAGGUGGCGAGUAGAUGGAUAGUUGACGGUCGGAACAAGAAUUCCGGUGGCCGGAAUGACGAAGGUACAUCCAUUAAUGGCAUUAAAAGUAAUCAUUUAAUGGUUAUUGAUGGUAUUUCGAAUCAUGAAAUUUAUGGUCGUAUUAAAGUUGAUAUUGAUUUGCAAUCAAGAGCUUUAAAAUUUUUUAAAUUUAUGGAAUGUCAACGCUCGGAUGGGACGGGGCUGGUCAGGUGGUGGACGGAAAUCGAUCCAACAGAGGAGAUUGAGAGUGGGUCCAAGAAAAAAGAGGUCAUAACAAAGAAGAAGUUGUUUGCUCCGAACCUCACAAAAUCGGAUCAAAUAAACAAAGCUAUAGCAGAAGGAAUGACAGAGAAAGAUGAAUUUUUGUAUGAAAAUGGGGGAGGUGCAGAAGCACUUUGGAAGCUGAUAGACUUGGAGGCCCAACAAAAAAAACAUAAGCCCACAAAAUUCUAUGGUGGGGGACAGCCAGCGGGGCCCACGUGGGGACAAAGGCAAGGAAGAGAAGGAAGGAGUGAUAACUCGGGUCCCACAAGGGGACAGCCGCCAGACAAGGCACGCAACACAAGGACAGCUUGUCUUGUGUAAUACUUUCCAGCAGCAGGUGGUCCCGCAAGGACAAAAAACAGCACAUCAAUCAUUGAACAUUCAAUACAAAAUGACUGGCACGGAUUACAGAAGACUUUUUACCAAGGAAUCUGCACAAUUACCAAUAAAUGCUGCUUUUAGUGCUAAUAAUUGUGUCAUACAGGUACAAAAAGUGAACCAGCUUCAAACUUUGAUGAACAAAGGCAAUAAAGACCAAUCAUCAGCCUUGUCUCCUAUCUUUACUGCCAAUGAUUACCGCCCAGCUUUUUCCACAAAAGACAAGAACUGCCAACCGAGCCGAGCCAAGCCGGACAGAAAAAACAAAGCUGCAACAGCUGUCCAAGUGCAUGGGAAGCCGCGUAAGCCCCCUCUGGUGCGCAACCCAGUGCAGCCUGGCUCCUUUAUGGCUGCUGCUCGUGGGGCCAGCAGAGCUAGUGGACCUGUAGAAGAAAAUGGGCCCAAAAAAAGGUCCAGAACAGAUUUUGCUGAAGAAGAAGAACAGCGCAAGGAGGGGCAGAAAGCAGUAGAUGUUUUUAACAAUCCACUUUUUGAGAAUAAUAAAGAAUCGGCGGGACCUGGUCACCAGGCCUGCCGGGACCAAUGAGUUUUGUAGCAUGGAAUUGCCGAGGCCUGGGAAACCUGCGUGUAAUUCCUAAAAUCAAAUUCCUUGUUCGGUAUUAUAAACCGGAUAUCAUUUUCCUUUCUGAAACAAUUAUUCAAGUUAAUAAAAUUGAGGAAUUUCGAUACUUGUUGGGCUAUGAUUCUUGCUUUGCUCCUGAUAGAGUUGGUAGAGGAGGGGGUGUUGCUUUAUUUUGGCGUAAUACAAUAAAUUGUAGUAUUGUCAACUACUCUUCGAACCAUAUUAGUGCUAAAAUUGAAGAAAGUAAUGGGCAUUGGAUUUUUACUGGUUUUUAUGGCUAUCCGGAAGCUAGUAGAAGAAGAGACUCUUGGAAUUUUCUUCGUCGUCUUGCAAGCAAUAUUAAUUUACCUUGGUGUCUAAUGGGGGAUUUUAAUGACAUUCUUCAUGCCGACGAAAAAAAGGGAAGAGCCACUAGACCUAAUUGGCUCAUUAGAGGCUUUAGGCAAGCUGUUCAAGAUGCUAACCUAGUAGAUGUACACAUGGAAGGGUAUCCGUUCACCUGGUUCAAAAGCUUGGGUACUCCUCGUGCUGUAGAAGAAAAGCUGGAUAGGGCUCUAGCGACUAAUUCUUGGAUGCAUCUGUUUCCCAAUGCUAAGCUGGAAAAUUUGGUUGCUCCUUCUUCUGAUCAUUUCCCAAUUUUAUUGGAUAGAACACCUGUAGUAAGACCUCAUAGAAGCAAAAGGUCUUUCAAGUUUGAAAAUGCUUGGAGAAUAGAAGAUGGUCUUAACGAGGUGGUCCACAACAGUUGGCUCCGGAGUGCUGGAGAUGGUGUUAUAAAUAAAUUAGCCACAUGUGCCGAAGAUUUGAUGCAGUGGAACUAAACUCAUUGCAACAGGAUCCAAAAAGAUAUUGAAGAUUGUCGGCAUCAGCUUAGUAGAAGUCGUGGUGUUAAUGGAAUCCAGGAUGAGAUUCAUUUCGAUAACUUAAGGAAAAAAAUGAACCAUCUUCUCGUUCAGGAGGAUAUGUACUGGAAACAGAGAGCCAAGACACACUGGUUCCGGGAUGGAGAUUUGAAUACGAAGUACUUUCAUGUUGCUGCUACUUCGAGAAAGAAAGUAAACAAAAUACUUUCUCUUGAUACCGACGAAGGAAUCCGUGUUACAGAGGAUGCAGGUAUGCGAUCUAUUGCAAAGAAUUAUUUUGAAGAACUGUUUGAGGGUCAAGAAAGUGUGCGUUCUCCAGUGGUUAAUCUGUUGGAUCCAGUCUUAGAUAAUGAAGACAAUGACCAACUAAUAGCCCCGUUUUGUAUAGAAGAGUUCAAAGAAGCAAUGUUUUCUAUGCAGCCUGACAAAUGCCCCGGACCUGAUGGUUUCAAUCCUGGUUUCUACCAACACUUUUGGUCGGUAUGCAGUGAUGAUAUCUAUAAUGAGUGCUGUUAAUGGUUGAAUGAAGGGCAAUUCCCUCCUUCCUUGAAUUCCACAAAUUUAGCUCUAAUCCCUAAAGGUUCUAAUCAGAAAACCAUGAAAGACUGGAGACCUAUAGCUCUAUGCAACGUCCUAUAUAAGCUGUUAUCUAAAGUUCUUGCAAAUCGUCUAAAGAAAAUUCUACACAAGUGUAUUGCCGACUCACAGUCAGCCUUCGUACCUGGAAGAUCCAUUCUGGAUAACGCUUUAGUAGCUAUUGAAGUGGUCCAUCAUAUGAAGACUAAGACAAGAGGCAAAGACAAGAGUGUUGCACUGAAGCUGGAUAUUAGUAAAGCUUAUGAUAGGAUUGACUGGUUAUAUCUCAAGGACGUUAUGCACAAGAUGGGUUUUUCUGAUAAGUGGAUUCAAUGGAUUAUGAUGUGUGUAGAAACGGUUGACUAUUCAGUUAUUGUGAAUAAAGAAAUGGUGGGGCCUAUUAUUCCAGGACGUGGUCUUAGGCAAGGUGAUCCGUUAUCGCCUUAUUUAUUUAUUCUGUGUGCUGAAGGUCUUUCUGCGUUAAUCAGAGAUGCUGAAAACAGAGAAGUUCUCCAAGGUGUGCGUAUUUGUCGCAAUGCACCCAGGGUGUCUCAUCUACUCUUUGCUGAUGAUUGCUUCUUGUUCUUCCAAGCGGAGGAGAGACAAGCAAAUGAGAUGAAGCAGAUCUUAACAAGAUAUGAGGCUGCGUCAGGACAAGCCAUUAGCCUUCCAAAGUCAGAAAUUUUUUAUAGCAGAAAUGUCCAAGACCCGCUGAGACAAACUAUCACCAAUAUUUUAGGGGUUCGUGCGGUGUUAGGUACUGGUAAGUAUCUUGGUUUACCUUCAAUGGUAGGGCGUAGCAAAAAAGCAACGUUUGGUUUUAUCAAAGAUCGAGUGUGGCAGAAAAUAAGCAGCUGGAGUAGUAAAUGCUUAUCCAAAGCAGGAAGGAAAGUUAUGAUUAAAUCUGUCCUCCAAGCUAUCCCUUCGUAUGUUAUGAGUGUUUUCAGAUUACCAAACUCACUUCUGGAUGAAAUUGAAAAGAUGAUAAAUGCUUUCUGGUGGGGACAUGGAGGGGCGAAUAAUAAAGGGAUGCGCUGACUUUCGUGGAAAAAGUUAUCAGUACACAAGAACCACGGAGGUAUGGGUUUCAAAGAUUUGGCAGCUUUUAAUGUUGCUAUGCUUGGAAAACAAGGUUGGAAGCUACAAGUUGAGUCGGAUAGUCUUGUCUCAAGAAUUUUUAAAGCUCGGUAUUAUCCGAAUAGCAGCUACCUAGAUUCUAAAUUAGGACAUAAUCCAAGUUUUGUUUGGCGUAGCAUCUUUGGUGCAAAAGUGGUUGUUAGGCAAGGUGCCCGCUGGAAAAUUGGCUCGGGAUUCAAUAUUCCUAUUAUUAAUGAGCCUUGGAUUGGGGAAGGGUCUAGUAUUCCUCCUAUUGGACCUGACAUGUUGGCUCUUCAAUCUUAUUCGGUUGGACAUUUAAUGGAUCAUAAUGCUAAAGUUUGGAAUGAACACCUAAUCAGACAGUUAUUUGCAACGGAGACAGCCAAUAAUAUCUUGAAUACCCCUUUGCACCAACAAGUUCUCGUGGAUAGGUUGAUUUGGAAAGCGGAGAAGGAUGGGUGUUAUUCUGUUAAAAGUGCUUACCGUAUGUGCAUUGAAGAAAUAAUUAAUAAUGAUCAUCUGCGAAAGCCUGGUUAUUGGAGUGGCAUCUGGAGACUGAAAGUUCCACCUAAAGUUAAGAAUUUGGUGUGGAGAAUUUGUAGAGAUUGUUUCCCAACAAGGGUAAAGUUACGAAGCAGAGGUGUUAAUUGCCCUUCAAAUUGUGUUAUGUGUGAAGAUCCCCAUGAAGACAGUUAUCAUAUCUUGUUUCACUGUAAGGCGGCUGUCGAUGUUUGGAAUGCGGCUAAUGUUUGGCAUCUGAUAUCUCCAUCUUUGGACCUGUUUGAUAAUGCAUCAGAUAUUAUAUUCCAUUUGUUGAAAAUAUUGUCUACAACCCAGAUAGAGAAUAUUGUCACUACUAUAUGGAGUAUCUGGAAAGCUAGGAACCUUAAGUUGUGGCAACAAGUGACAGAUUCACCCACAACAAUCUUGGUAAGAGCUACCCAUCUUUUAGAAGGUUGGAGAAGUGCUAAUCGUAAACAAAAUCCUCCUAAUCAAAGUCACAUUGAUACCACCCUUCCUCGUAACCACAAUAUCCAGGUAGUAGAUGGAGUUUCUAACAUCAGAUGGAGGAAACCUAGAAGUGGUAGACUCAAGUGUAACGUUGAUGCAUCAUUUUCAGAAGUCAACAACAAGAUUGGUUUGGGCAUAUGUAUUAGAGAUUCAACAGGAUCCCAUGUCCGAUCCAAAAUCAUGUUUUUCUCUCCGUUGUGCUAUGUGGAUGUUGGAGAGGCGCUGGGGUUGUAUCAUGCAAUUCGGUGGAUCCAUGAAUUUCAACUCGAAAAUGUUGAUUUUGAAGUUGACUCGAAACGAGUAGCAGAUUAUUUCAACAAAGGUCGUGGAGAUGUCACCGAAUUUGGUUCUAUAAUGGACAGUAGCAUUCAUUUCUGUCGGUCACUUUUAACAAACUCUCAUGUCGAGUUUACUAGGAGGCAAGCGAAUGAGGUUGCACAUAAUCUAGCUAAGGCAGCCACAUCUAGUUCUAGCUUCCGUAUCUUUGAUGAAAUCCCAACAUGUAUUACUGAAUUAAUCUUUAAUGAAAUGAUUUAAGUUUCUUUCUCUCCAAAAAAAAAAAAAAAUUUACGUUAGCCAAAAAAAAACAUAAAUAUGGGUAUUCCUUAAUACUUGUGCAAUCAGCUAAAACAUCAAAAGAAAAGAAAUGGAGUGAGUAGAUGUUUAAGGUUUGUGCACGAUUAUUAAAGAAAUGAUUAAUUGUGUUGAUUUCAAUGGUAAAAUUAAUAUCAUUUACUAAAACACACUUAUUAAUUGUAGUUAGUGGAGUAGUUAACUUGAAUGAAAUUCAAUAAAUAAUAGUAUAAUAAUGAAAAAUAAUAAAAACUGCUGCAUUGUUAUUCUAAAAUGACAAUUAUUUUGAGAAAAAGAAAAAUGCUAAAAAGAUAAUUAUUAUCAGACGAUGGACUAAUAUUAACACACAAAAUAGACAUAUUAUUUUUUAUUAAGAAAUAUAGAAAAUAAUGCAAAAGAUACUUAAAGGAGUAGUGAUAUAUACAACCAUUUGGGACAACUUUGAUGACAACUUUCAUUUUCUCUUUUCUUAUUGGUCCAACUCCAAACCAAUGGAGAGGGAAAAAUAAAGAGAGAGAAUAAGAAUAUAAUGUGAGUAUGAGAGAGAAAGUUGUAAUAAAGUGGUUGUACAAAUAUAAUUUCUCUAAGAGAGGUGAUAGGUAAACAUCCCCAUGUGGCAAACCCCUCUAUACACCCCUAUGUGGAAAAUAUUUUGCAUUAAUAAAUAAUAAAUGUUAAUAUUUGAUAUUAAUAAAUAAUAAAUGUUCCAUUUGAGAAUUAAAAAAAAAAAUGAAAAGGAAAGAAUGUCUCGGUUCUUCCCUCAUGCUCUCUCCUCCGCCAAACAGUCCUCUCUCUCCUCCACCACCGCCACCAGCCCACUUCCGUUCCCGGUGAUGGCAGCGGCGACUACCAAAUCCCCACUAUUUUCAUCUCUCUCAUCCCUGUUCUCUCUCGUCCUCCCCCUCUCAUAUCUACCGCCUCCCCCGUCGUCGGCCCUCACGUGUUACCGGCAACGGCGACGACUCCAUCUUCUCCGUUACACUCCAGCCUAUCUGUCGCUGCCUCCUCCUCGUCUCCUAUGUGCUCCUAUUAUCACCGCCCUCCCACCACCAUUACGAGCGUUUCAGAUCUGACCAACACAGACUCGUCUCCUCUGUCAUUCACUCAUCUCGCUACCACAACGCAUAAACACUCAGAUGUGACUCCCAGAUCCCCACGGCGUCGACGGCGGCAGUAAGGCCAGAAAGAGAAGAGGAAGAGGAGAAGGUGGAUCUGUGUGUUUGUGAACAGAGAAGAGAGAUGAGAAUGUUAGAAGAAAGGGGCACGUGAAAUCUCAUUUUUACCCUUAACUUUUUAACAAUACUACAAAAUUGCCAUCCACAUGGGCAUGUGUAUAAAGAGGUGUAGAAAAGGUCUAUGAAUCAUUUUCCGGAAAGAGUAAUGAUAUUUGUACAUCUAAUUGAUGACAACUUUGGUGACAGCCUUGCUUUUCUCUCUUUCUAUUGGUCAAAACAAUGGAGAGAGAAAAAAGGAAGAGAGGAUAAAAAUGUCAUGUGAGUAUAAGAGAAAAAGUUGUACAAAAAUUAUUGCAAAAUGGUUAUAUAAAUAUAAUUUCUCGUGGGGAAAAUAGGAUAAGCUAAAGGCAAGGAGAUUCUGAGUCAGCACGUAUCUAUAGAAUCGCCCAUUAGAUAAGUAUUUCCGUGCUCUGCAAAUCAACAAACACAAUUACAACCACGGCUUUUUUCUAUAGUGGGACCCACAAACUCCACCUUCUUCAUAUAAAAUGAUGAGCAUUCUAAUUCCAAAAUCAUAGUAACUUCUUACAACGACAUAACGAAACAAACAAACAUGCUCUCUUCAAUAUCUCUUCCUUCUUCUCUCUACGCCGCCGGUAAUUUCUCCGGCACCACCGUAACACCACCGCCGUGUCGUGUCAGAUCAAAGCCAAUAAUCACAACAGCAAGCUCCACAUCCACCGCCGAACCUCGCUCUACAUGGACGACAGAACAACAAAGACCUUCGUAUUUAAAUAUGAGCUCCUUUUCUCACUCUUCUCCUGGAUCGCACUAUGACAUCCUCGGUAUAUCAGCAGCUGCCUCCAACCAAGAAAUCAAGGC
rnacentral:lncRNA from 1 species